rnacentral:lncRNA from 1 species
AUGAAAUAAUGAAAAUAAUGAUAAUAAUAUUUUUUUUACUCUUCUUGGACUAAAAUAAAUAAAAUAAUAAUUAAAAAAUGCCUUAAGUUAAAAUGAAGAAAUAAUUUUAAAAUCAUUUUCUUUAGUUUUUUUAUUUAUUAAAAAUGCAUAAAAAAUAAAAAUUAUUAAAAAUAAAUAUUUAUGUAAAAGGAAAAUUAAUUAAAAUAAUAAAUAAAAAAAGAUACAAAUUUUAUGGAAAAAGAGAAAUAAAACGUAAAAAGGAA